ACAACCGAAACACGCAAAUUCCUGAAUGUUCUGGCAACUGUAAAUCAACAGCUUCUCGGUAUUACCAAAUCCCCUACACCUCAACAAUACAAGACGAUUGUCAUCAAAACUAUCAUUCGUUAUCAAUCAAGAACUUCUGGCAGACAUUUCAAUUUACUGUGACCUUUUGUAAGAAAAACGGCACGAGCAAUAUCAACAAGUCAGUCCUCCUGAGCCUUUCCUUCGACAUGAACUACAACAGGCACAUUUGUGUGCUUUGAUUUGAUGAGAUCACAGGCUUCAAAUAAUAAAGCAGAUGCAGUUUCACUCAAAGUUAUCUGACAGCUUAAUUCUAUUCUUAAUUUAUACAAGAUGGUCUGAUUGUAAAUGAUAAUGGCAAAACAAAUUCCAUUUUAAGAAAACGCACAAAAAGAAAAGAGUUUUUGGAGUAAAUUGGUAGGUCGAGUUGAAACACAUUGAUCCAAAAAUAUUAAGCCAGCUUCAUGUCCCAGUCUCUGGAAAUCACUAUUUAGUUGCUACACAUUAAAAAAAUCAUUCAUGGUAGGUUGAUUGCAGACUCUAAAUUGCCCAUAGGUGUGAAUGUGAGUGCGAAUGCUUGUUGGUUUAUAUGUGCUCUGCGAUUGGCUGGCGACCAGUUCAGGGUGUACCCCGCCUCUCGGCCGAAGCUAGCUGGGAUAGGCUCCGGCACUCCCGCGACCCUCGCCCUCGUGAGGAGAAGCGGUACAGAAUAUGGAUGAAAAAAAAAAGAGAAUGGCAACUUGUAACUCAAAGAUAAGAGAGACAUCAACUUUCCGACACCAUGCAACACUCGGUGCAGGUGAAAGUGGGACUGCAUCAGCUGAUGGCUAGGCUGACAGAUGUGGUGAGACUGGAAUACCCACGGACAAUGAUGUUCGCAGAUGACAUUGUGAUCUGCAGUGAAAGCAGGGAGCAGGUGGAAGAGCAUUUAGAAAGGUGGAAGCAUGCGCUGGAAAGGAGAGGAAUGAAGAUAAGCUGAAGUAAGAUGAGCGAGGCUACAGGGACAAGAGAUAGUGGCGGUGGAGGACUUUAUAUACUUAGGGUCAACAGUCCAGAGCAAUGGGGAGUGUGAACAAGAACCUUCAGUUGACUGACUUUUCAGUGGGGAGUACAAAGAGCAACAUCUUCCACACUCGUUACUGCAUAGCUCUUCUUUCGGAUGCCACACAUCUCCCUCUCAAGUCGGGGAUGAGAUCCUGCCCCAAGUGGAGGAGUUCAAGUAUCUUGGGGUCUUGUUCACAAGUGAGGGAAGAAUGGAACGGGAGAGCGACAGGCGGAUCGGUGCAGCGUCUGCAGUGAUGCGGACUUUGUAUCGGUCCGUUGUGGUAAAGAAGGAGCUAAGCUGAAAGGCGAAGCUCUCAAUUUACCGGUCGAUCUACGUUCCUACCCUCACCUACGGUCACGAGCUGUGGGUCGUGACCGCACAAGUACAAGAUCCCGGAUACGAGCGGCCGAAAUGAGUUUCCUCCACAGGGUGUCCGGGCUCUCCCUUAGAGACAGGGUGAGAAGCUCGGUCAUCCGGGAGGAUCUCAGAGUAGAGUCGCUGCUCCUCCACAUCGAGAGGAACAGGAUGAGGUGGCUGGGACAUCUGAUUCAGAUGCCUCCCGGACGCCUCCCCGGUGAGGUGUUCCGGGCACGUCCCACAGGAAGGAGACCCCGGGGACGACCCAGGACACGCUGGAAAGACUAUGUCUCCCGGCUGGCCUGGGAACGCGUCGGGAUCCGUCCGAAAGAGCUGGAAUAAGUGGCUGGGGAGAGGGGAGGGAAGUCUGAGCAUCCCUGCUAAAGCUACUGCCCCCGCAACCCGACCCGGAUAGGCGGUAGA